UUUUACAACAAGAUGAGCUCAGUACGGAUACAAAUGAGCUCUAAAGCUCGCAUGUCCGAGAGCGUAAAACUUGUGUGGAUUACUCCGUUGCCUUCCUUCUGAUCAUUUUU
rnacentral:snoRNA from 1 species